rnacentral:rRNA from 1 species
AUUGAACGCUGGCGGCAUGCCUUACACAUGCAAGUCGAACGGUAACAGGUCUUCGGAUGCUGACGAGCGGCGAACGGGUGAGUAAUACAUCGGAACGUGCCUAGCAGUGGGGGAUAACUACUCGAAAGAGUGGCUAAUACCGCAUGAGAUCUACGGAUGAAAGCAGGGGAUCGUAAGACAUCGUGAUACCAGAGCGGCCGAUGGCAGAUUAGGGAGUUGGUGGGAUAAAAGCUUACCAAGCCGACGAUCUGUAGCUGGUCUGAGAGGACGAUCAGCCACACUGGGACUGAGACACGGCCCAGACUCCUACGGGAGGCAGCAGUGGGGAAUUUUGGACAAUGGGCGCAAGCCUGAUCCAGCAAUGCCGCGUGCAGGAUGAAGGCCUUCGGGUUGUAAACUGCUUUUGUACGGAACGAAAAGCCCCGGGUUAAUACCCUGGGGUCAUGACGGUACCGUAAGAAUAAGCACCGGCUAACUACGUGCCAGCAGCCGCCGCAG